UACGUAGGGCGCAAGCGUUAUCCGGAAUUAUUGGGCGUAAAGAGCUCGUAGGCGGUUUGUCGCGUCUGCCGUGAAAGUCCGGGGCUCAACUCCGGAUCUGCGGUGGGUACGGGCAGACUAGAGUGAUGUAGGGGAGACUGGAAUUCCUGGUGUAGCGGUGAAAUGCGCAGAUAUCAGGAGGAACACCGAUGGCGAAGGCGGCUACCUGGCCCACUCUUGACGCUGAGGCGCGAAAGCUAGGGGAGCAAACGGG
rnacentral:rRNA from 1 species